rnacentral:rRNA from 1 species
AGAGACAGCAGUAGCCCGGGAACACAGAGGGUGCGAGCGUUAAUCGGAUUUACUGGGCGUAAAGCGUGCGUAGGCGGCUUUUUAAGUCGGAUGUGAAAUCCCUGAGCUUAACUUAUGAAUUGCAUUCGAUACUGGGAAGCUAGAGUAUGGGAGAGGAUGGUAGAAUUCCAGGUGUAGCGGUGAAAUGCGUAGAGAUCUGGAGGAAUACCGAUGGCGAAGGCAGCCAUCUGGCCUAAUACUGACGCUGAGGUACGAAAGCAUGGGGAGCAAACAGGAUUAGAUACCCCGGUAGUCCCUGUCUCUUAUACA